CCUCCUCCCAGCCCACAGCCUCUUGAACUCCACGGAGACCACCCCCAUGUGAGGCUGGGAAGGGAAACCUGCCUUUGUAAGUGGAAUCAGGUGAAAUCGGGCUGUGACUGUGUCAGUCAGCAGAGUAAAGCAGUUUCAACUGCAUUUGAUGUUUUGGUCACCCUACCUAAGAUGCAGCUUCUAAGAGGAGAGCACAGAUUGGCCAGUACGGGACUUGUCACCUUGAUUGGCAGGUCCUCCAGACUGUAUCCAAGGCGGCAAGCUUUGUUCCCCCAAA
rnacentral:lncRNA from 1 species